GAAACAUUUUCGAUUACAUCGACCAGCUCCCUUGACACUGUGAUCCAGCUGACUGUUGAGUAACAAGCACUCUACAGCGCUCGGUUUAACGCUUAAAUUAUUAAAAAUUUGCGGUUUAUAAAUACUUUUUACUUAUAACGACAAUUCGUGUUUAUUUCUUUUAUGUGACGUUCUUGUGGAACACAAAGUUGUCGAUGAAGUUGUAUUUAAGCGGCAAGGGCGGUUCAUUCAAGGUUUAUCAAAAAUAGCGUUCGCGGCAUGUUGCCAAAACAUUGCGAUGCCGCCCAUGUGCGUCUGUAGACGUUAGAACGAACACAGAACGCCCAUCGUCAGGCCAAUUCAGGAGAGGUUUAACACAGAGAAGAUACCACGCAUCGCAACCAAAUUUCGCCAUGACAGACUCAUCUUUUCAGCGGGUGUCCCGACCUUCAAACCGAACGCAUCACCGCUUCAUGGCAGAAAUGAGCAGGGUGGUGGGUGGUGGUACGUACUUACCCGUGCCGGCCAUUAAAAAUGUGUGACAGUGACAGUGUAAAACAAAUGAAAUACAUAUUUACAAUUAUGGUUUUUUUUUAACAGACUUCAAGAUAAUGUUCUGAUGAAUUCGGACCGUAUGUUUUUUUAUUGGUAUUCUAACUCCUUAUAAGUGAUAACAAUGCAGAACAAUGAUUCAAUCUAAGAAUAUUUUUUAUUAAUGUCAAUUAACUAUCGUACUUAUAUACGUGAAGAAAAUAAACAUUUUUGUAUUGGUAUUUUUCAGAAA